rnacentral:rRNA from 1 species
AGAAUGAACGUUGGCGGCGUGGAUUAGGCAUGCAAGUCGUACGGGCCGCAAGGCCAGUGGCGCAAGGGUGAGUAAGGCGACGGUAACCAACCCCAUGACUGGGUAUAGCCGCGGGAAACUGCGGGUAAUCCCCAGCGACGUCCCGGGGGGCAUCCCCUGGGGACCAAAGCUCCGGCGUCGUGGGACGGGCUGUCGUGGUAUUAGGUAGUUGGCGGGGUAAUGGCCCACCAAGCCUGCGAUGCCUACCGGGCGUGCGAGCGUGGCCCGGCACACUGGGACUGAGACACUGCCCAGACUCCUACGGGAGGCUGCAGUCGAGAAUCUUCGGCAAUGGGCGCAAGCCUGACCGAGCGACGCCGCGUGGAGGAUGAAGGCCUUCGGGUUGUAAACUCCUGUCGAGGGGAAGAAGGGUCGAAAGACCUUGACUGAUCCCUGGAGGAAGCACGGGCUAAGUUCGCGCCAGCAGCCGC